GCGAGUUACGAUUUGAUGCAAGGUUAAGCAGUAAAUGUGGAGCCGUAGCGAAAGCGAGUCUGAAUAGGGCGUUUAGUAUUUGGUCGUAGACCCGAAACCAGGUGAUCUACCCUUGGUCAGGUUGAAGUUCAGGUAACACUGAAUGGAGGACCGAACCGACUUACGUUGAAAAGUGAGCGGAUGAACUGAGGGUAGCGGAGAAAUUCCAAUCGAACCUGGAGAUAGCUGGUUCUCUCCGAAAUAGCUUUAGGGCUAGCCUCAAGUGAUGAUUAUUGGAGGUAGAGCACUGUUUGGACGAGGGGCCCCUCUCGGGUUACCGAAUUCAGACAAACUCCGAAUGCCAAUUAAUUUAACUUGGGAGUCAGAACAUG
rnacentral:rRNA from 1 species